GGUGAACGCUGGCGGUAGGCCUAACACAUGCAAGUCGAACGGCAGCACAGUAAGAGCUUGCUCUUACGGGUGGCGAGUGGCGGACGGGUGAGGAAUACAUCGGAAUCUACUUUUUCGUGGGGGAGAACGUAGGGAAACUUACGCUAAUACCGCAUACGACCUACGGGUUAAAUCAAGGAAUCUUCGGACCUUGCGCGAUUGAAUGAGCCGGUGUCGGAUUAGCUAGUUGGCGGGGUAAAGGCCCACCAAGGCGACGAUCCGUAGCUGGUCUGAGAGGAUGAUCGGCCACACUGGAACUGAGACACGGUCAAGACUCCUACGGGAGGCAGCAGUGGGGAAUAUUGGCCAAUGGGCGCAAGCCUGAUCCAGCCAUACCGCGUGGGUGAAGAAGGUCUUCGGGUUGUAAAGCCCUUUUGUUGGGAAAGAAAAGCAGCAGGUUAAUAACCCCAUGUUCUGACGGUACCCAAAGAAUAAGCACCGGCUAACUUCGUG
rnacentral:rRNA from 1 species